rnacentral:lncRNA from 1 species
AGGCUCGAUUGACGGAGGUAUAGAGGCAGACUGUCGAGGAUCGACAGCGGACUGAGCAGCGAACUCAAGAGUUGAGUGCAUGCGUCGACGAGUAUCAGCAGCUUCAGAUCCAGAUGAUGGAGUGGAUGGCACAGAUAGAACAGACGAUACAGCUGAUGAGGCAGCAGGAAGCCGGUCCGAGUUCUUUCGAGUGCUCUCUUUCCCCAGCUCG